rnacentral:rRNA from 1 species
GACGUAGGGCGCGAGCGUUGUCCGGAUUUAUUGGGCGUAAAGAGCUCGUAGGCGGCUUGUCGCGUCGGAUGUGAAAGCCCGGGGCUUAACUCCGGGUCUGCAUUCGAUACGGGCAGGCUAGAGUUCGGUAGGGGAGAUCGGAAUUCCUGGUGUAGCGGUGAAAUGCGCAGAUAUCAGGAGGAACACCGAUGGCGAAGGCAGGUCUCUGGGCCACUACUGACGCUGAGAAGCGAAAGCAUGGGGAGCGAACAGG